rnacentral:rRNA from 1 species
UACGAAGGGGGCUAGCGUUGUUCGGAAUCACUGGGCGUAAAGCGCGCGUAGGCGGCUUUGUAAGUUAGAGGUGAAAGCCCGGAGCUCAACUCCGGAAUUGCCUUUAAGACUGCAUCGCUAGAAUCAUGGAGAGGUUAGUGGAAUUCCGAGUGUAGAGGUGAAAUUCGUAGAUAUUCGGAAGAACACCAGUGGCGAAGGCGGCUCACUGGCUCGGUAUUGACGCUGAGGUGCGAAAGCGUGGGGAGCAAACAGG